GUGGGAGGGGAAACCAGGGUGGGAUUCCAAGUGGAACCCAGCUCAGCCUGAUUUCCUGGAGCACCCUGGACUUUUAACUCUUCUGCAGGGGUGGCGCUACCUGUGCUUCAAUGACAUUCAGUGUCCACAGGAAAUCUAUGUCAAAUGCAGGUGAAUUUCAUCAGCAGGACACACAGUCGCUGAAGAACUGCCACACAGAGCUAGGAAAACAUUUGAGAGUUACGAUUAGGAGAGAUUGUGCUGAGUGAGGAGCACAACAGGGGAAUAAUGUUUCAGAAAUCAUUCUGAGUCCUCGGAUUAGUUGCUAAAAGUUGAGCACCAUGGAAACC
rnacentral:lncRNA from 1 species